rnacentral:rRNA from 1 species
GUGGGGAAUAUUGGACAAUGGGCGAAAGCCUGAUCCAGCCAUGCCGCGUGUGUGAAGAAGGUCUUCGGAUUGUAAAGCACUUUAAGUUGGGAGGAAGGGCAGUAAGUUAAUACCUUGCUGUUUUGACGUUACCGACAGAAUAAGCACCGGCUAACUUCGUGCCAGCAGCCGCGGUAAUACGAAGGGUGCAAGCGUUAAUCGGAAUUACUGUGCGUAAAGCGCGCGUAGGUGGUUUUGUAAGUUGGAGGUGAAAUCACCGGGCUCAACCUGGGAACUGCCUCCAAAACUGCAUGACUAGAGUACGGUAGAGGGUAGUGGAAUUUCCUGUGUAGCGGUGAAAUGCGUAGAUAUAGGAAGGAACACCAGUGGCGAAGGCGACCACCUGGACUGAUACUGACACUGAGGUGCGAAAGCGUGGGGAGCAAACAGGAUUAGAAACCCGGGUAGUCC